rnacentral:lncRNA from 1 species
GAGAGAGAUGAGUUCGCAUGUGUUGUGUUGGGUUGGGUUGGGUUAGGUUUUGUUGUUUCUAGAAGGUUCUGUGUGGAGUAAAUGAUAAGGCGAGGGAAAAAGAGAAACAGAAAAUCGUGUGUUCGAGAAGGAAAGGGAAAUUUAAAAGAGGAUGGGAAAGAGAAAAAGGGCAAAAGCGGUGGGGCCCUGCACAUUGGAACAGGAUAGGAAGGCGCCAGAAAUGCGAGGUCUUUUCCAGAAGCUUCUCUCUCUCUCUCUCUCUCCCUCUCCCCUUCUUUAGUUUUUAUUUACCUCUGUCUAUCCGGGUCCGUCGACACGUGUCGGUUCGGAUGUGGAAGACCACGCUCCAUAGUAAGGAUAAGGGAUUGUUCUCAGCGAUACUGAUUUAAGGUUGUGAUUGUAUCACCCGCAUGGGAGAUAUCGUCGCCGUAAUUCCUCGGGCCUCUUUUCCUGCCUCGUGGUAAUUUUGGUUGUUAAGACUUUUCAUUUUACCAAUUUAUGAUAUUAUUCAUGGUGGAUAAAUAAAUGAUAGGAUGAUUGUGGGAGUGAUUAAAGAGGCAAGUCAGUUCGAGAAGGCGCAAGAAGAUUUUAUGAAUUAAAUAUAUAUAUAUAUAUAUGGGUUAAAAUUCUUGUUAAUUAUAUUUUAUUAUUAAUUCAAUUUAUGAUUGGAUUUAAUUUGAUUAAUGUAAUUAUAAGAAUCGUAUCAAAACUACAUAAAUGAAAAUCAAAUGUUGAAUAUCGAAUAUAUCUAAAGAGACGAUUAAUAUUAUAUAAAGAUGUAAAUAAUUGUGUGCCACUCAUUGUUUAAUUGAACUGAAACAAUUCGAUUCUAAUAAAAUUAUCCAUUUUUGUUCGAUUGAAAACGUUAUCAGUUUAUGUGAGUUAAAAACAGAUGAAGAGACUGCAUUUAUGGACAAAUUAAUGAAAUAGAAGGAUGAAUCUAAGUUUUUAUAUCGGUAUAGUUUGUCACGCAAGUGCAAAUAAUAAUACUAAUAAUAACACACGCACCCACCCACACACACACACACACAACAAACAUGAUGAUUCACCUUCAAACUUUUCCGUCCAUCUAAUGAGUUCACUCAUAUCAUGCCCACUACCCCUUUUUUAGCCCACCAUAUGUACGCAUGAACUGUGUGAGCCAUGCCAAGUCCUACCUAUUUUAGAAAAUUUUACAACUUUUUUCGAUGGCUGCUGCUGUAGACCAGUCUAAAGACUAAUGACACGGCACGUUGACGACGAAUCAAAUUUUUUUAAAAAAAAUUGAAUUUAUUGCCCGCAUACAUAAUCCAUUCAUUUAUCCAAUUAUGUCGACUUUGAUUUGAUCAGCUCCCUAUAUUCUACCGUCCGACGUAUGAUGAAAGCAUCCUGAAAUAAAAAUUGAAUCGGUGGACUUUUGCAUAAACCACAUCACCUCACCGCAUUGAAUUUGGCUGAAGCAUAUGCCAAAAUUGCUUCUUUUCGUUUGGCCUUAGGCUUGAGUUAAUAACUAAUCGCGCAUGUUGCCCGGGGCCCACUGUUGGCAACCAAACACAAGGUUUCUAAUCUAAUCAUUCAUAUCUCAGAAAUAAAGAAAAUGCUUUUACAGUAUCAAUAAUAUACAAACAAGCCCGGACAAGCAUAAGUUUCUAUGUUGCGUAACAAGUUUUCUACCUUGGCAACACAUUCUUUGUUGGUUACUGUUAAUUUAAUUACGUACGUUGUCAUUAUAUAUAUACAGCAACACAGAGCCGUGACCCUGUCUUUACAUUCGUCUUAUUUUAUUAUGGGCUUUUGAGGGGGAGUCUCUUCACUAAUUUCCCUGGAUGUAUAUUGUUUUCAAAAUUUCAUCGUCGCUAUGGAUAUCUAUAUCUCUAAUGCCAAUGCUAAGAGAAGGUGAUGAGUUACAUCCCGCCUCAUUGUCGGAGUAAUCGUCUUCGUCACCCAGCAAGGAAUUAUUAGCCUUUUUCUGCAGUUCUUUUACUCUCCUGAACUCGUCGUAAUGUGCUCUCCUGUGGUCUUCGAAGUUCACAGCACGCCUUUCUCUGACAUCCCCUGAAAAUUAAAAUGAAAACAGAUAAUGGUUAGCUUCGCAAAUGAUUGAACAUUGCAUACCAUAAUGAAGUUUUAGAACCUUCAUCGGCCUCAUCCUCAGAUGAUGAUGAUGAUCCCGCAAAUGGCCUAGAGUGCUUUUCACUUAUAGCCACUUUGUUUAAUGCACUUCUUAUGGCUUCGGCAUGUGCAGCGUAGGCGUAGCUACUGCUAUCAGAUGAAUCCAGUGCAGGGGAAGGGAAACCUAAGACAAUCAUCAAUAACAGACAUAAUAGUCAAUUUGUUUUGUCAAACUUCAGAAUAAAAAACAGCUGGUGGCUGAUGCGUUCUUCUCCUAAUUAAUUACCAUCAUCAUCCACCAUAGGGUGAUACGGCGUCUUGGGUUCAAGUAUUUUUUCCCUAACAGGUUUAUCGGCCUCAAUCUCAUUAAGAUUAGCUUCAUCCCAACGUACUCGUCCCCUGCACCCAAAGAAAUGGUAUCAAUGGAUAACAUUAAAAUCUGGUUAACUUGUGUUUAAUUACCGAUUAGGCCUCCCAAGCAAUCAAACAUCAAAUCAACAAGAAAAAAAUGAUACCAAAUGCUACUUUAUUAACCAUCUUCUCACCUCAUCAUUCAUUAAUGUAGAUAAAAAUAUUUUGAAAAAUUCAUACUGUGUCUUUUAGUAAACUCAGCUAUGAAUAUGAAUGAAGAAAUCUUUGCUUCACUGCUAACCCCAUUACAUUUCAACGGUUUAACGGCUCACCUUCCACAUGGGAUACCUUAUGAUUUUCAUUCAGUACAAAUUUGUCAUUUAAAGUAAAAAAAAUGAAAAGAUUAAAGAAUAGUGAUUCCAGUUCGUCAUGAUUUGUUCUAGUUUUUUUAUUCAUUAUUAAACCAUUGUUCUUUCUUUUUGAAGGGAAUCUUGAAUGCAAGGGAAUAGUACAUCAAACCAAAAGCAAAGCAACUGUCAGACUCUCGUCACCAGCAAUUUAAACGGAGGGUCACUUCACAGUUUCAUUAUAUCGCUAAAAACUAAAGUCUAAUAACCAAUGAUACCAAAAGCAUAUAUUCCCCCGGGCUCAUACGCCGAUCACUUGUUUCUUAAAAGAAUAUCAAAAUUGCUUCAUCGGUGUCCUCAAUUCUCUUUGGACAUGAUGAACCGUCAAAGAACAAUGUAAAUCGAUGCUUGUUUGAUACCACAAUUUGUUCAUAACAGCACCCCAUCACCCUACUCUGAUAUCCCAGAUACCCAGUUCCCACAUAUAUUUGGCGGCCGAAGAAACAAAUUAACGGGCUCAGAGAUAAUAAUUGAUCAACGGCUUCAAGCAGAAGCCAAGAGAAGUGAUAAAUCGAAAAAUAAAGAAAAGGGUAGUACGUAUGUGAAAAUUACUUGAUCAUUUUGUUCAAGUGAUGAUGGUUGUUGGCCUUGAACGACUAGGAGAUGCUGCUGAGACCUUACCAAAGUUGAUCCGAUUUGGCAGAAAAUGAAUGAAUGAACUCCUAGUUAAAUUCUCAACAAUUGAAACAGAAAAAUUAAUUAAUAAUCUUUACGUUCAAUUAGAAUAUAGCAGUUGGAAAGAAAUUAUACCUUGGGAAACAGAGGGAGCUGCAAAAUAGGCAGAAAAUGAAAUUCAGUGGCCCGUAAUCGAUCGGUAAAUGGACAGAGCACGUAAUUGAGAUAAAAAAGAAAAACUGGGUACCGUAACAAACUGCUAUUAGCACAUUGUUUUUAUUCCUUUAUAUGAUCCAGACAAACCAUAUACUUUUCUUGUUCUUGUAAGAAACCGAGAGACUGUGCCGUCUGACAAAAUACAAGUACAUAGAUGCCAAUGCAAGUUGGCCUCAUCUGCUGGCAGGUCAAAAUUCUGGAACAUAAAAUUAGUUGGAUAUUUUUAUUAAUUAAGUGAUAUCUGAAACCUCUUUUAUUGAUCGUUUUUAUUAGAAAAAGCAAUUUGUGUAAUUUGUAUAAUUGAAGGAAACUGAAAAUUUUAAGUAUCUUUUUAUUUCCCUUUUGAUUUUAGAACUAGAGAUUAGAUAACAGAAUAAGAGAGAGAGGGGGCCCGGGGGGAGUGGGGUCCACAUAUUGUUCUCUUCAUAUUUCGUAAGAAACGCUGCGUUUUUUGUUGAUUCAGUAAGCAUUUACGAUGUCGUUUUCUAUCAAUCCCUACCGUUGGCGUCGGGUUUAAAUUAGGAAAAGCAAACUAUUCAUCCCACUUCAGUUUCCUGUUCAUAAGGCACCACGAGCAACGACAUAAAUUGGGUUCGUUUGUUUCUUUCUCUUAUGAACGUGGAACAGUUUUAUCAUUUCUAACUGCGAGUUCUUUUCGCUCCAAUUUGUAUGUGUUAGUUAGGAACAGGCAAAUUCGGCGUUUUUAUUUGUCGAUGCGGAAGCCCUCCUACUGUUUGCGAAAAUGCCUCAGACAAUUUGACAAUGUUUAUAUCUUAGAUAUAUGUGAUGAUAUAAAACAUUUGAAAGUAAAGGUCUUUCGCGAGGAUAUGAUUGUAUAAAGACUAAUGAAUUUUUAUUUUGGAAUUUCAAAGUAGUGUAGAAAUGACUUUCUGUUUCUAUUUCCAUAUAUAUGGUUGUGUUUUGCAAAUAUUAGUAUUGAUUCGCUAUAUCAUCGUGCUGAAAUUUUUUGAAAAAUGUCAAGAAAGCUGCUGAAAUUUUCUAUUACAGAUGAACAUUAUCAAUAUGGUUGAGCUUUUUUGUUCCAUAAAUGGUCAGUGUUACUAAAAGUUGAUAAUAAAAGUCACUUUGUACCGUUAUCAAUCUGUAACUUGCUAGCAAUUGUUUAGUUUCACAAGCAUAGAAGCUAUAGGAUACCUACAAAGUUUCCAUUACUGUAAUUCUAAUUGUUUUAAUGCAUUCGUUAUUGCAGCUUGAGAAAAACAUAGCACUUUAUAUUUCAAUAGCUCUUCACUUGCCAAUGAUUUUCCCAUUCUACCAGAGUGUGCUAUUGUAAAAAGGUAAACUUAUCAAUUUCAAAAGAAAUCUACUGAAGAUGCCAGCGCUGGUUUCAACACGGCUGCUCCUACUUGUGGGAGAGUCACUACCAUUGCAUAAGUUUUCAUGUGUUUCUAGGAUGCCUUGGUGCCACAAUGGCGUACGUUUCCUUAGUCAAGUUGGUCAACAUCAUGGACCCCUUACUCUUGCAAGCCUUGGAUACAAGAGUGAGUUUGAGUCCACAAACAAGAAUAAAUCAAACAAACCUAAGAAACAUAGUCCUCCUAUUGAAAUCCCCAAAGCUAAGGUGAAGGCUGUUAGAAGUGAUGGGAUCAAAGCCGCUGGGGUAAAGAAAUCCCUUGAGAUUGAGUCAGCUCCUUUUGCUGCAAACUCAUUUUUGGAGCUUGGACUCCCACCUUUAUUGUUAGAAAGGUUAGAGAGAGAAGGCUUUAAUGUCCCAACUGAAGUUCAGUCUGCAGCUAUUCCUUCAAUUCUCAAGAACCAUGAUGUUGUGAUUCAGUCGUACACAGGUUCGGGGAAGACAUUGGCGUAUCUCCUUCCCAUACUGUCCAAAGUAGGUCCACUUAAGGAUAAAUCUUCUAAUGGCAAUGGUGAAUCUGGAAAGAAAACAGAUAUUGAAGCAGUAAUUGUGGCUCCUUCCAGAGAGCUAGGAAUGCAAAUUGUGAGGGAGAUCAAGAAGCUGCUAGGACCUUCAGACAAGAAAGCGGUUCAGCAACUAGUAGGGGGUGCAAAUCGAUCAAGGCAGGAAGAAGCACUUAGGAAAAACAAGCCAGCAAUUGUUGUUGGGACACCUGGCCGUAUUGCUGAGAUUAGUGCAGCUGGGAAACUUCACACCCAUGGUUGUCGUUUCUUGGUCUUGGAUGAAAUUGAUGAGCUUCUUUCAUUUAAUUUCCGUGAGGCCAUGCACCGGAUAGUGGAACAUGUAGGGAGGAGAUCAGGAGCAAACCCACGAGAACCAAAAAGUGCGCUUGCCACGCGGGCUGAGAGGCAGACUAUUAUGGUAUCUGCCACAGUGCCAUUUUCAGUGAUAAGAGCAGCUAGGAGCUGGGGACACGACCCUCUUCUUGUUCAAGCAAAAAAUGUUAUCCCACUUGAAUCGAUGCCUGCCACUGGACCGGGAAAUUUGUCGGGGCCUAUGUCUGGUUCAAGCUCAAACUCAAAUUUGCAGGCUAAGCAAGCAGACCAGAGCCUGCCUCCCGCAUUGAAACACUACUAUUGUGUCACAAAGUUGCAACAUAAGGUUGAUACAUUGAGAAGAUGCGUUCAUGCACUUGAUGCCCAGACCGUGAUAGCGUUCAUGAACAAUACUAGGCAGCUGAAAGAUGCUGUGUUCAAGCUGGAAGCACGUGGGAUGAAAGCAGCUGAGCUGCAUGGGGAUCUUGGUAAGCUAGCUAGAUCAACAACUUUGAAGAAAUUUAAGAAUGGGGAGGUGAGAGUUCUGGUGACAAAUGAACUUUCAGCAAGGGGAUUGGAUGUGGCUGAGUGUGAUCUUGUGGUAAAUUUAGACUUACCUACAGACUCAAUUCACUAUGCUCAUCGAGCUGGUCGAACAGGUCGUCUAGGCAGGAGGGGCACUGUGGUAUCCAUAUGUGAGGAACCAGAAGUAUUUGUUGUAAAGAAGAUGCAAAAGCAGCUUGCGGUUCCAAUUCAGGCUUGUGAGUUCACCGAGGGCAGGCUUGUUAUAGGCAAAGAAGAAGAAAAAACAUUAGAAGCUGUCAGGUGAUAAUUUGUCUCUUCUUUUACAUCUUAUUGUUGAAGAGCUGACUGAGACAGGUUCCCUGAUUAUGUCUCCCACAACUUAUGUUAAAAUAAUGUAUUAGGGCCUAUUAUCUACUUCGAUUAGUGAUUGUAAUGAUGAAGCAUUUGUUAGGAAAAUUUGAUACAUCUUUCUGCGAUAAAUUUGAAACUCUAUGAAGCUAAGUAGUAGCAAUCAUAUGCAGCCUGAAAUGUGAUUACAGUAAAUGUGGCUGUUCUAUCAUGGGAGUUUAUAAUUUUAACCACGUUACAAAGAACCAAAAUCUGCUACUGUCGCUUUCCUUUGGCCAUUUACCUUAAUAUUUGAUCUGAAGUAAAUUGAUCUUGCAUGGAGUGACAAUGAACAAAAGAUACCAGUCAAAGUUGUUUGAGUCCAACACCUAAUUAUUCUAGAUACAGAUUACACGAGAUCUCUGUACAAGGAGAAUUAAAAAGGAAAGAAGAAGAUUUGAUAUCCAAUAUUCUUCAUUUCUUAUUAUUAGCCUUUUGAAGCAGAGCUGUUUCAGAAAGUAUGCAAACACGCCUAUUUGCACACAAGCAACGUGAUGCAUCACCAGAUGAUUCUCUUGCAGAGCUUGUAGCCUGAUAGAAGAGUACAAGAUACAAUGACGACAAAAGUUACAAAGGACAUGCAGGUAGAGACGAUAGCUGCCUUCCAGAGUGAAUGCAUUUGGUCAAUAUCCUGAAUGACUGGUAUUGCCACUGAAGAAGACGAAAUGAGAAGGUAGCCCAUCAACUGUCACAUUGUAGCAGCCAAUUAGCCUUCCCAAAGAUGAAUUUUCUGAAAUAAGCAAAACGUAAAAAGAACACAGAAUAAGAUAAAAUGGAGGUGAGCCACGCCCACCUGAUCCAGGAUGAAGCUAAUGUAGUCAGAAAUCUUGUCUGGUAUAAUAAUGCCUCUGUGAGCAAUGUCACAGAUACCUUUAAAGAGCUGGAAAGAUGAGUAUGCAAAAGCCAAGAUGUCUACAGUGAAGGAGUAACUACACGAAGACAAGCAGGACAUCAAAAAAUCAAAAGCUACAAGAACUAGUGUGAUAAUCUUACAUGUAAUUAACAACUUUAUGCAACACUUGUAACAUCUUCUCAAUUAGCCUUAGGCUUACACUAAUUCUGGAUACCCAGUGAAGCUAGAAGGUUGCUGGCCUUUUUUCUUGGGCGAUGGAGCAGCCAGUGAGAGAGCAGAGACAAAGCAGAACACAAGUGCCAAGAACCUAAGAAAAAGAUUGGAAAAAUGAAUGGAAGGUCUGGAGCUCCACCUUGUAGAGGCAACUGAAAAAGAGAAAGGUGAUGGAGUUGGAAACGUUUGUUGUGGAGUCAAAGAACUAGCUAUCACUGGCGAAACAGUGGACACGGCUGCUGCUGCAGGCGAGGCACUGGCCAUUGGUGCACAAGCAAUCACCAAAACAUCUCUUUCUUGUUUCAUUUUCCCUCAACUGCUGCCUUCUUCAGAUGAACGUCUCCUAAACCUGCUCCGGAUGAAACUGGGGCCCUCUCUUGAGAAAAACUUGCUUGUUUACUACAAUGAGCCUCUUCAGAACAUAGUUGGUAUUACUUGUGGAGCUACAACCAAGCCCUGUUCUUAUUAAUAUAAUUAGUUUGACUCUAUAAAAUUAAUAAAAUUUCUGAAAUAAGCUUCGGAAAGUCCAAUCAUGUGAAGCCACGAUAGCAUGGAAACCAAGGGAUGCUUUUCCAUGCAAUUUCUCUUCUGCCUGGUGGUGGUUAAGCUCUCAUAAGCAAAUAGAGAUGAGAUUGUGCAUCUUGUUGAUUGUUUAAUUAAAAUAACGAGGAAGGUGAUGGCAAGAGAAAUUGACAUUUCAACUCUCUUUUAGUCAAUGUUUGUAAUCUUUAUAUAAUUUGUCUGCUGCAAGCAAUAAUUUAACCAACAGCAAUAAGAUACUCAGGCUUAUUUGGUCCGAUAACAAUGUCUAGAGGUAGGUCAUCUUCUUCGACCUGACAUAAACGCAUACAAAUAUAUUAUGCCACUUGCUCACGCUUCAAAUGGCUGAGGCUGCUGAAAGUGUUCUGCUUUAAUGUUUAAAAGGCAUUUGAAGUGCAGAACAGAACAGAAAGCUAGAGUUUCAAAUUCAUCCAAACAUUACGUGUUUGACCAACCGCAUUCUUUGAACAUUUUUGUACUCAUGUUACUUGGUGAGAAAUGGGAAGCUUAAUUUAUUUAUAUUUAAAGGGAACGAUAAUACGUACAUCGUCCAAUAGGCCCUUACCCCUAUAGAAGAAAAAAAAUAGUGGGACAAAAAAAGAAUAAAAGAAAAUGACUAGUCAUUUAAGUCAAUUCAUAAACAAUAAAAGAGUCUGCACUGAAGAUGUCCUGAACCUCUGUGUGAACUGAGAAGUUAUUUUAACUUCUAUUUCCUGCUCAUAAGCAGAUCAUUCAAGUCCUUUUUGUCUGGUAUCCCAUUGGGUUGUUCUUCGCCCAGUUCCAUUGGUGAGCGCACAUGUCCUCAAUGCCAUACUUGGGCCUGGAAAAUAAGUCAUCCAGCAAGAAAUACCAGAGUUAGAUUUUAAUGACAUGCCAAAUAUUAGCCAUGUAAAAAUAUGCCAAAAGAGACUAAUGGUUCUGAAAUGAAACCCCACUGCUAAUUCAUUUUUGAGGUAAUUCACUGUUACUAUCAACUGAGAAUUAUCAGCUUUUGAGCUGUCGUAAUGUACUUUUAGAUAACACAAUCAUAAAUGUAAUGUAACAUCAAUAUCAAAGAAGUAUCAUCAUCAAAUUUGGAACAAAAAGAAAAAAAAAAAUGUAAUGCUACUGAUUGUAUGAUGACACAGAAUGGUUCAAUGACUUACUUCCAACCAAGUUCUUUAUGGGCUUUGUCUGUGGCAGCGUAAACAGCUGUUGCAUCACCUACCCGUCUUGGACAGAAUUUGAUUGGGAUUUUCUGCAGUUAUUUUAUAAUAAAACUUGAAAUUUGAGCAAAUGAAUGUACUGGAGUGGGAGAACUUAAAAAAAGCGUGGAUAAGAAAAUCACCUUUCCAGAAGCCUUUUCAAAUGCUGCAACCAUUUCAAGCACGGAUAUGCCCUUUCCAUUCCCCAGGUUGUACGCUAUACAACCUAUUAGAAGAUAGGUGAUUGAAACACAGAGAUGCAAUACAAAUUGUUACCAAAAUCACAGAUUGAUUCCAAUUAUCAGAAAAAGGUUAUACUAAAUCCCAAGAUUUGUUUAAUCAGCUCUUAGAAAUUAAAGGCACACAUGAGAUUCAAGAAAAUUAACAGGUGGCACCAAGUAUUUUGACAUGCUAAAUUAUGAUUACCUAUAUUUUCAGAUGUAAAGAGCUUCUUAAGAGCACAUAUGUGACCAUCUGCCAAGUCCAUUACAUGAAUGUAGUCUCGGACCUGUUCGUGCAAACAGAUUGUAAUUAACAACUUUUAAUGAUUAAUUACUAUUACAUAACUACUGAAAGUGAUUAUACAUAUAAUUUCACAUACCGCACUACCAUCCUUUGUUGGAUAAUCCUGACCAUAAACAUUAAGCUCUGGAUGUCUGCCGACGGCGACUUGCUGUAUGUAAGGCAUGAGAUUGUUUGGUAUGCCCUUUGGAUCUUCACCGAGUUUACCACUCUCAUGAGCACCAACAGGAUUGAAGUACCUCAGUAAUAUUAUUCUCCAUUCUGGGUCUGCCUUUUGAACAUCAAAAGCAAUUUCUUCGCACCAUUGCUAUUAAGAUGGAAAGAAUAAGCGAAAGUGCAAACACAUUUCACCACUCUCAAUUUCAAUAACAGAAGGCGUAUCCCAAGUAAAGUUGCAGUACCUUAGUUCGUCCAUAAGGAUUCAUAGCACCAUACGGGAAGUCCUCAACACAAGGUAUUUUUUCAGGCUGUCCAUAGAUAGUUGCGGAUGAUGAAAAUACCAACUAUUGGGAGAAAAAAUAAGCGAAAAAUCCUUGGGUCAGUAGUCGGCAAACCUGAGAAUUCUCCGUUAAGGAUUUACAAACAAAAUGAUCAUGAAGAGUCAAUUCCUAUCUACUUACAGGAAAAAAUCAUUCAAAUGGAUUUAAGCCUUUUUUUUAAAAAAAAAAAAAAAUUAAGUGAAAAAUAUUGCAGUAGAAUGUCGGACUACAAAACAGAAAUAAAAUAUUAAAAAUUGGCGCUGACCUUCUUACAGUUAUAUUUUGCCAUGGCCUGAUACAGAUUGAUGGUACCAAUCAAAUUAUUAUCAAAAUAACGGAAAGGAUGUUGAACACUCUCUGCCACAGCCUUAAGGGCACCAAAAUGGAUCACAGCAUCAAAUCUGUCGCAUUACGAAAUACAAAAUCAAAAUUACAAAUGAAAUGUGAUAUCAACUUCUCGGUACAAAGAUUUGCUUUGAUGCUUGAUCUCUCGCAUUUGAUUUUACAAUUAAAUACAAACAAACCUAGUCAAAGUAAAUAUAUACUUUAAAGGCAAAAUGCAGAUCAAUAUAAAUCAUGAAAAAAAAAAAUCAUCAAAUGAACCCGAACAUACUUUUGACUAGAAAAAAGCUUAUCCAAGUCAUCCUUGUUCCUAAGAUCACCCUGCAACCAAAACAACCCAUCAACAACAUUCAUUUGCUAAUUUCUCGAGAACCAAACAGUAAUUACAAAAAAGGACGGGAUCUCAGACACAUACCACAUGGAACUCGAGCUUCUUAGCGAGCUCAGGACCCGCCAAGUCCUUGACUCUAUCAACAGCUUCAGGGACAGAGUUAUGUAAAUUAUCGAUAAGCACCACCUUAAACCCUCCAUGUAGAAGCUGAAGCGCACAGUGCGUUCCAAUAAAGCCAGCUCCACCGGUCACCAGGAUAUUUUUCUCUGACGCCAUUGCAAGGCAAAGGAUUGGAGGAGAAGGGGAAAGAAGGUGAGAGCGACGAUUAUAUUAAAAAGAAGAAAAUGAAUAAAGUGAAGCAACAAAUACAGAAAGGGUUUAUAAAAUGGGAAAAAUGGAGUGACGUGUUUGAGAAAAUCAAGGAGACAGUUGGGUUAUCAAGUGGAUAAGCACAUAACACUGACUAUGGAUUGUGUAGUGUAAGAAAGAGAAAACAGAGUCUUGGGAAGAAUUAUUCAAUUUGUUCUGUUUCGGUAGUUUUGUACUUUCCCGUUUUGUUCGCGCGCUUUUUCUGUUACUUGUUAAUUUUCUCAGUAAGGUUUUUUGUUUUUUUUGGUUUUGGUGCUGGGAAAGCGAAUCUAGCCGUGCCCCAGUAGGCCUACUAAUUUAAUUUAGUUAUUCGGCUGAAAUAUAAUAACAUUUGGAUCCCCAAUUUUAUACCAUCUCAGAAAAUAAGGAUACUGCAGCUUUUAUCAAAUGGGUUGCUACAUUUCUCAAAAUAUUAAGGUGACGUUCAAUUAUUGAAUCAUCAGUUUUAUAUAUUAAUACUAUAUGUCUCAGAUAAUAUCUCGAUUUUCAACAUCUAAAGUGAAUAAGUAGUAAUCUACAUUAGAGUAUUGUACCAAUAAAUAAUAUUAUUUUUUUACAAACUAAAUUGUUUCAUGGACGAACACCACCUGUGGGGUGCUAGUUGAUUAUAGCAUAUAUAUAUAUAUAUCUUUUUAAAUAUAUAUAUAUAUAUAUGCUAUAGCAAUUUGGGGUUUGAAUUCCACCCAAGUGCCGUGAUAGAGAAGAGAUUUAAUUGCAAUCCUGCUACCAAUGACCCCAAAAAAAAAAAAAAAAAAAUUAAUGGCACCUUAGUACUUGGGAUAAAAAUAUUGUGAACAGUGAACUACUAUCUUUACUUUAAAAGAUAAAAAUUGUAUUCGGUUCAAAUUCGACGAUUUGAUAAUUUCAAAAUAAAUUAGGGUUCCAUGUGACACAAAAAGGAAAACGAUGUACUUAAAUUUGAAGAUACGAAAAAACUACGUCAUUCUCGCUCAUGAUUAUUUUUCAUUUUCUUCCCAUCCAUAAUUCUACGACACAAGUCGGUGAACUUUUUGACCAAGUUGUGACGUGACAGCUUAGGAUCAAGAGAAGAUCGAGUGGGAAACCAAUGGGAAGAUCAAGAUAUUUUCCUAUCUCCUUCCUCAAAAAACUUUUUAAACAAUUAUUAUAUUAAAAUUUUCCAGAUAAGGUUAUCCAAAAAGCACGUUUUAAUGAUAUUGAUAUAUGUAAAAUUUCCAAUUUAUAUAAUCCUAUUGACAUUAUGAUCAUAUAUAUAUAUAUAUAUAUAUAUAUAUAUAUAUAUAUGUAUGCGAUGCUGUUGUUAUGAAAUUGGAAUCGAUGGCGAACUUUAAUUUACAAUUAAAUUUCUUGUUCGGUCACUCCUUAAGAAGUGGUAGGAAAUGAAAAAGGAUCCAGCUAUGGUGUCACAGUUGUAUGGUACCACAGCUGGAUCCAACCAUUGGAUCUAGCUCUGGUGACAACUGUGGGUUAGAUCUAAUGAUUGGAUCCAUCUGUGGUACCAUACAACAGUGGUACCACAGAUUUGUCCAAUGAAAAAAGGGCUUUUAUAUAUCUAUAUAUGUCGAAGGGAAAAAAUUGUUGCCUCACUCUCACGACUCAAGAGCAGUAGACCAGUAGGCAGUAGUAGUAGGUAUGAUUCAUUAUUAUUUUGUUUUGUUUGCCUUCAUUAUUAAUUGGCAAGGGCUCUUCGUGCUUACGUUACGUGUGGGGAACAUACAUGUGCUAUAUACAAUAAUUAGUGUUUGCCGCUUUCGAAAACAUUUUGGCUGCAUUUGUAAUAUUCGGUGCAAUUUUUUUUUGUUUGUUUUUGUUUUAUGAAUUAAGGAAAUGUAUGUAAUAUUUAUUAACUACCGAUAAUCCAUCCAAACAAAUGAUAAUUGAAUUGCUGAUAGAAGCCGUCUUAAUAUAUAACAGGAUAAUUAAUACUCAAUUAGAUAAGAUUAAUUAGUUUAUUAUUUUGUUUUUCCGACUGAAGAUAAGAUAAAUUUUUGGAGUGAGUGAAGAAUAUUUGAUGUAGUAGUAUUAUUAAAUUGGACUGGAUAAUAUAACAUGUAUUACUUUAUUAUUAAAAUAAUUAAAACACAUGCAGCCUAAUUAAAUUAGCAUAUAGCUCGGCAAGAAAAUGAAAAAAGAAAAAUUCGGACAAUUUGAUUGAUGGUUCCUGAAGCGUUGAAGCAGCAGUGAGCACAAAAUGAAUUGAUCUUAGUUUCAGAACUGAUCAUCAAUCAUAUGCAUGCGUCAGUUGGAUUUGGGACCACGGCGGCGUCAACUAUCAACGAGUAUGGUCCUUAAUCUGUCAUCCGCAAGAAUGUGCGGGACCCAACUACAGCAACAGUGGCUGGCUCUUCUUAUCCGUCAAACCUUCCGAUGGAUUACAGUUACAGCAGCGAUAGUGAAUCGAUGGGUCGUCUGGUUGGACUUUUUCGAUUCUAAGCGUAAAAGUUCAUAUGAGGAAGAAUAUAAAGAGUUAUGUUGUCGGGUUGGGUUUAGGUUUUUAAUUAUUUUUUUGAAAUUAUUGUAAACUUUUAAAGAGUUAAUCAUUGACGACAACGAAUUAGAAAAAUGAUUACUUUAAAAUAAAAUAAAAAUAUAUAAAAUAACGUAAAUAAAAAUUUAUAAAUUUAAUUUUUUACUAAUUCUCUAGUUCAAGAAGAUGUUUUUAAUUAAUUAUAGUUUAAGAGAGAGUUUAGUUGUUAUAAUUUUAAGUUUUUUAAAAAAAAAUUUAUUAUUUUUUAAAUUUAUAUUUUAAAAACAUAGAGGUCUUGAUUUUUUCUUUUUUCUUUUUUCUUUUUAAACCCUUAUCUAAGUCGUUAUGUAAAAGGCCGGCUUGCCCGGAUGUUUUUGUUAAUCCCACUUGUGAAAAAGGUUAAAAUAACUUGGGCCUUUUUCAGCCCAAAAAAUUGGGCUAUUGGAUGGAAUGGAAUGGUUAGUGAGUUAAGAAUUUUAGGUUGGGCCACCAGUACCCAUAUAUCUGAACUAGUGUGGGCCCAAGAUUUCAUAUUCGUUUUGUUACCUGAAAAAAUGGGGAAAACAGAUUUGAGAGAGGCCUUUUACCUUUUGUAUAUUAUUGAUAAUGAGAACAGUUUACGCCACGGUGGCUGUAACAUUGCAAACAUUAAUAAAAUUCUCAGUUACGUUUUAAAUGUUCUCAAAAAAUUCAUUAGUUUCUAAUUUCCGUAAGAAAUUAAAAGUAAAUAUAUUUUUGUAUUUGUAACUUUGCCCGUUGAUUGGUGUGAUUGAUGAGACAUCGGACAUCAUUAGAUAAACACAAUCUCGUUUUUCGAUUUGACACGGGAAGUUUGAUCUUUAGAUAAACAAAUCAAAACAAGGAACCAAGGAAUGAAACUCGAGACGCCACGGCAUGAAGCCGAAAUAGAAAAAUCACAUCAAAUUAACAUUUUUUUUCAUUCUUUUUGGGAACCUUUAUUUCAAAGCAAAAACAAAUGGAACUUCUGGCUGGGAUUGAGCUUUCUAGACAUUCAGAGUUCAAAAGAAUUAGCUAUAGUGAAAGUGAACUUCCUUACUAAGUGUGGCUCCCGUUAAACGACACGUUGUCAAUAUCAAGCUAGCUAUCGUAUUGAUUUUCAAAUUAAGUGAAAAAAACAAAAAAACAAAAACAAAAGCUAUGGCUAUCGUAUUUCGCCACUUGAACAAAAGCCUGAUUAACUCCAAUUAGAGUCCCUUCACGGCGGGACUCAAUUAAUAAAAAUCUCUUUCCCUAUAUCUGUUAGUUGAGGAGCACAUCUUGCCUUUACUGGAUGUAUAUUUUUAAGUUAUGACUUAUUUCUAAAAGAAAAUACGUUAUAAUUGUAAAAAAAAUUAGAGUCUCAUAACUUUAUAUUAAGAAUUAGAAUUCUCUCAUGAUCCGAUUUCUUCUUAUGCAAAAAUACAUGUGGGUGAUUGAUAGUUAAUAAAUAAAAAAAUAAAAAAAUAAAAUUAUAUUUAUAUAUUAUCACUUAAAGACACAUGUCACAAGAUUUUUAAAAACUCAAGCUCAUAUCAGGAGAAGAUCUUUAUUCACAUAUUAAUUAUAUAAUAUUAAACAAAAAUGUCAAUAUUAAAAAAACUAUGAUUAUACUUCAAGCAAAUAUGGUCACGUAACCUAGCACUUUGCCUCUAUAAAUGCCUCUGCCCAUUUUCUCGCAGACCUAGAAGCAACUGAAGCAGCAUGAGCUUCAUCAACUUUAAAGCCAUUCCUUUAAUUACCCUUCAUAAUUCUCCAGAUUGCUCUCUACUCCUUCACCUUCAUCAAUGCAUUCACCUUUAACAUCCAAAACAACUGCGCCUACACUGUCUGGGCCGCAGCCUCACCCGGCGGGGGCAAGCAGCUGGAACCGAAAUCAUCCUGGACUACUGAUGUGAAUCCCGGAAGCAAUAAGCCAGCUCGCAUAUGGGCUCGAACCAAGUGCACAUUCGGCAGCGCCUGCAAGGUUGUGUUCUGUCCUUAAGGCAAAUAAAAUUUAGUAGCAUUUACAUAUAUAGUUAACUUUUGUGUGGCAUCGUAGUAGAGUUCUAUUCGUACUAUCAAUGUAAUAUAAUUACUUUUUAAGUUAUUGGUCUGUAGUCGCGUGUGUGCACUGCACUCGUGCUGAGUGUUGGGUGAGCUACUUAUAAAUUUUUUGACUUAUUAUCAUUUUACUACACCUGAAAUCAUCAGCCACUACAUCAAUUAUUAAAUAGUUCACUAUAUUAGCUUAUUAAAUAAUAAUAAUUUAUUAUAUUUCCCUCACUAAUGUGGGUUUAUUAGUGAUAUCACACUGACAUUAUAUCGCAAAAUCAUAUUUUUAUCAAAUGACACCUAAAUGUGUAAUUAAAUCUUAGGAUUAUUAUUAUUCAAAAAAAAUAAAUCUUAGAGUUAUUAUCCUUUAACUAUGGUAAAUAUUCCAAAAUAACAUAUCACUACACAAAUUAUUAAAAGGUAACACUUUUACUACAUUAAUUUUUUUAAAAUAAAAGUUUAAGAUAUUUCCAUCAAUCUACAAUUGAUCAUGCAGCAGAUUAAUUGUAGGGGCAAUGUUAUCAUUUAAUUAUCAUUGUAAAUUUAAGCAACAAUGAUGUGCUGUUUCGCACUAAGAGCAGGACAAAAUUGCAAAUUCACAUGGCAUUGAUUUGUAUAAUUUUUUUCUUAUUUUAAGAGUUAUUCAUUGAGGGUAAAAUUAGUAUUUUAUCAAUCAAUCAACAGGUCAACUAACGAAAGUAAUGGAAAUAUAGUAAAUUGUUAUUUUUAAGAAGUUACUAUAAUAAAGUGUUGCCUUUCAAUAAUUUUUGUAAUGGCUUGUUAUUUCGCAAUACUUAGUAGUAACCUUAAAAAUUUUAAAUAAAACUUUUCCUUUGAUGAGGUAAGAGCUAUCAUUUCGAUUUUGUUUUGAGACACAAUGAUUUUUUGUUUCUCACUUGCCGUGGUGGGUACUGGGUAGGGUAGGGCCAUCAAAUAAACUUCUCUGAAACUCGCUAGGAAACAAGAAAUCUCUAAACAAUUAAAUUAUGACAACAAUUUAAGCACCACACAAGAAAAUUUAUAUUUUCAUUGAUGGUGGGGAUAUUUCCCCCAUGAUUUCAUGAUUUGUGUACAUCCACCUCAUUUUAAAAAAUUCAUGUUAUUUUUAAAUUUUAAAGUAAAAAAAAAGUGUAAUCAAUUAUAUCAUUUUCUUUACCUAGAGUCUCCUGACCAUUAUCAAUCAUCAACAUUGUUUAAGUGAGGCUACAGUAUAACCUAUAUAAAUUAAUACUCGAUAAAUUAAUAAUCUUUAUUAUAUAAUAAGUUUUCACGAUCUAACUUGGGUCAAUGGACUAAAUUAAUAAUUUUAAUAAAAUAAUAAGAUAAUACUUUUCUAAAAUAAUCUUAUAUAACUUUGUGGGUCGCAUUCAAAUAAUAAAUUAAUAAUUUAUUGAAAUCAUAAAAAAUCCAAACCGAACUUAUUUUUUUUUGGGUUCCAGUUCGGUUUUGCCCACCCCUACUUACAAAUGUGAGAAAACAUGUGGUGCAACUGUAGUACCGUGCCACAGUUGCACCGUAGCCGGACCCUACAAAUGUAUUUGACUAGGAUAUUUUAAGUAUAUAAAAUAUGAUUCUAUUGUUACUUUUUAAAAAAAAUUUAAAUCUAACUAGAUCUCAUCUUUUUUUUUUUCUUUCUUGCAUUUAGAUGUUCUGAAGUUGACUUCUCGAAUUGUAAUAAGAAAUUUUGAAGUGUUAUUGAUGUAUGUUAAUUGAAUUGCAAAUAACUUUGUAAAUUAAUAAAUUAUUAAUUUAUCGAGUAUUUAAUUUCUCUUUUAAUUAAUAGAUAUUGUAUGAUCCAAACCUAUUAAUUAUAGAGGUUCUACUGUAUUUGAAUCCACCAAAAUACUCUAUAAACUUGUAUUUUUAUAAAAAUACUUAUUAUCAUGAUGUCCAUUAAUAUGGGAUAAAAUUAUACAAUUAAAAGAAACAAUUUACUCAAUAUAACCAUCCCAAAACUCUUUUUUUUUUCCUCAUCAUCAUCAAUCCAUGAUUAUUCAUUAUCUUAAAACCCUAGAAUUGUUGACAUCAUAAAUAAAUAAUUCUCUUCUCUAAUAUUUUUUUGAAUGUCUACAAAUAAAGUGAAUUCUUAGAACGAGUUUUCUAAUUUGUUUUAACCAUUUAUUUGAUUUCUAAGCAAAUUCUUUUAAGUGCAUAUGUUGCGUAAAUUAGCAAGUAUACUAGUAAGCAUAAAUAAUAUAAUAAAGAGUAGAGUAUCGUCUCAUAAAGAUUGUAUAUCCUAUUAGCUACCAAAAUUAUUCUAACCCUAAUUUAUUUGAACAAUUGAAUAGGCAAAUUUAGAUUAAAAAUAAAAAUAAAAUAAAAUAACUAAAAAUUAUAUAAAUAAAUAUGCAGGCAGUAAUAAAAAUCACCAAGAGAUUAAGAUACUAGAACAUUCGAUUUCACCAUAACUAAUCUAACUUAAUCCUCCAUCUAUGUUAUUGAAGUUUAUUACUCAUGUUGACAGUGAAUUUCCUUAAUCUAUUCAAUAUUCUCUUCGAGUAAUGUCAAAAAUACCUUCACAUAUUAGCCCAAUAUAUCUCUAUGUGAAUUUAAAUAUGCAAAAAUUCAUUAAGCUCUAUGGAAAUUCUUAGAAAAACUGCAUGAAUCACGUUGACACAUCUAUGUUUUUCGUUCAAUUCAUGGCAUCCAUUACACUGAGCAAAAAUACAUAAAUCUCCUCUUGGUCUCAUUAUGUAUCCUCAAAUCAUUCAAAUAUUGGCUAGAUAUUUAAAUUAAGCACAAUAAUGAACACUUAAUCAUGAAAAAAUAAAUUAUAAAUAACAUGAAAUUAAGUCUUCAUAGUUAGGUUAUGUCAUAUUCCUAAUAAAAUAAAUUAUUUCAUUUAAAUAUUAAGAGGAUUCAUAAAUAUUAUAGGGAACAUUGAAGUAAAAUAAUAGAGAAAGGAAAGAGGAAAACUCAAGAGGCUGUCUCUCCCAAAUCCCUGCAAUUGACUUCUCCACAUUAUUGGUCCUGGAUUUGUAGUGGCUGCUUCUCUUAAAUUUUUAUGUGUCAGCUGUUUUCUUCUAAUGCUUCUUUUUAAAUUGUAAUGCCACCACAAAAUCCUUAAAUCAAAAGGAUUUAAAACAAGCCAAGCGUAACCCACUUUAAGCCCAUGCACCUGAAGCCCACUUGAAUCAAUGGUCAAUGCUUUCCAACUAUUCACAUGAGUUGUACACUUAAAAAGUCAAUUAUUCUUCUUUAAGCAUCUUUUUCCCUCUUUUCUUUUAUUCUUCACGUGGUUUCCAGGAUUAAGCCUUGGCUUUUUCGAUAUCCGGAUCCAAAUUUAUUUGACAUUCCUAUUCAGGUGGGUAUGUUGAGUAAAAUUUUAAUUUUUAAUUUUAAUGAUGGGUUUAAUGAGUAUAUAGGUUUUAUAAGUAUUUUAUUAGGUUCAAAUAUCCUCACCAAAAUUGUUACAACAUAAUUUAAUUUGAUUCUUUUACCUUUACAACAUCAAAUAUUCAAAUUGUCCAAAUCAUAUGCUUUUGUUCCAUAAAUUUAAAUAAUUGGUGACAAUUUAAUUAAUUAAUUGUCCAAACUUCUUUAUUUUAAAUUAUUAAAAAUUUAUAUGAAUUUUUUAUAAUUAAUUUUUUUAAAUGAAUUGGGUUUACAAACAUAAUGGGUAACAUAUCAUCACCCUUCCAUUCAAUUGGAUUAUUACCACAAGAUGUAAAAGCAUACUCAAACUUAUAAUUGAAAAAGAUUAUUAGAGUUCUCAUUAUCAUGGGGGAGAUUUCCCUAAUGUGAAUAUAUUACCCCCACUUAAAUCUUGAAAAUUUUAAUUUAUCUUUACUCCUAUUAUUAUUAUUAUUAUUAUUAUUAUUAUUAUUAUUAUUAUUAUUAUUAUUAUUAUUAUUAUUAUUAUUAUUAUUAUUAUUAUUAUUAUUAUAACAAUAAUAAACUAAGGUCGGUUUAAUAACUUGUAACUAUCUAUUUCAAUUUUGAGAUAAGGUAAACACAUUAAUAGCAAUACAAUUCAUUCCAAUUCCAAUUCCCGCAGUUAAAGUAAAUAAUUUAUUUUAAUUUUCAUUCUUCAUUUCAAUUUCAACCCAUUCCGAUUUGCAUUCAUUCUUAUUACUAGUUAGUAAAUACAAGAUUAAGGUAUUAUGGCAAAGAGCCAUUUAUGCAACCUACUUCAAACUUAUGCAAUUCACAUUUACUUGACUUUUCAAUGGUAUUAAUGGCAAUAAAGAGACGUACUUCAAAUUUUCACAAAAUAGCUCUCUCCAGCUUCUAGCCCUCGGCUUCUGCAUUUCCUUGCCUUUUAUAGGCAAGGAAUGCAUUAUCUUUAUUUAUUUUAUUAUAAUAUAUAUAUACAUAUUGCGAAUUAAUUUAACACAAAAAUUUAUUUGGGGAGUAUUAAGAUAAUUUAGAAAUAAUGAGCUCAUUACUAAUAAUUUUAUCUUUAUUACACGUACAUUUUUUAGUAUUAAUCAGCCAUAUACAACCUACUUGAAAUUUAUGCAAUUCACAUUUACUUGACUUUUUAAUGGUAUUACUGGCAAUAAAGAGACGUGCUUCAAAUUUUCACAUUUGAUUGACUUUUCAACAGGCAAUAAAGAGAGGGAAUAGUUUUGCUGCAGGAGAGAUUUCAUAGUACGUGACAUAUAUUACACCCAAUUAAUACAUAAACAUAAAUAUUAUGUGUGUAUUUUUUUAAAAAAAAAUUAUUAUGUAAUUAGUAAUUUUUUUGAAUUAAACUAUGCAUAUCAUAUGUGUAAUAAUUGAAUAUAAUAUCUCUAAUGUAAUUCAAAAUUUCUACAUGUUCACAUAAAAUUUUCAGCAUAUUCACAUUUACUUUGACUUUUCAAUGGUAUUAAUGGUAAUAAAGCGACGUACUUCAAAUUUUCACAUUUGAUUAGUAAUUUUUUUGAAUUAAACUAUGCAUAUCAUAUGUGUAAUAAUUGAAUAUAAUAUCUCUAAUGUAAUUCAAAAUUUCUACAUGUUCACAUAAAAUUUUCAGCAUAUUUACAUUUACUUGACUUUUUCAAUGGUAUUAAUGGUAAUAAAGCGACGUACUUCAAAUUUUCAAAUUUUCACAUAAAGCGACGUACUGGUAAUCCCUAUCUUACAUGCAUGUAAGAUAGGUAUUCCUCGCAUGAAUAGUGCACGUGUGAGACCAAAAUGCGAUUCGUGUAGGGNNNNNNNNNNNNNNNNNNNNNNNNNNNNNNNNNNNNNNNNNNNNNNNNNNNNNNNNNNNNNNNNNNNNNNNNNNNNNNNNNNNNNNNNNNNNNNNNNNNNCCUGGGUUUCUCCCCCAAAAAAACUCGAAUUUAAUUUUGAAGAUCAUAGGGGGCUUAUUUCACAAUCCCAAUUUAUCACAUACUCCGGCGUACCGGUCACCUCUAUAAAUCAUGCAUGUACGAUACAUAUGCCUCACUCAUAUCGCACAUUUGUGCGACAUAUUCACUAUUCAUCUGAGGAAGAUGUAUCUUACAUGCAUGUAAGAUAGGGAAUCCUUGAUUGCUUUAAAAACAUGCUGAAAAAAAAUGUGGCAUGAAUAGGGCAUGUAGGCAGAGAUAGCAACAUUUCUCAAGGGGGCCCAUACCCACGAGUCUCCAAUUAAUUCGGGUUGGGUAUGAGCCCCCAAAGAACUUCAAAAUUAAAAACGGAUUUAUUUUGGGGACAAACCCAAACCUCAAGUAUAUUUUGGGUAUGGGUUUGAGAAUUUUAUUGGGUCACCGAACCCGAAUUUAAACCCAAAAUAUAUUUUUGUUUUUGAAAAUAAAAUAUAUUUUAAUUUAAUCAAAUAAUUAAAAAAAUUCAAAUAAUGAAAAAAUAAAACAAAACCCCAUAUCUAAACUCACGGCCUCUCUUAAAACGCUAGACUCUACCCAUUGCCACCUCCAAGUCGAGCUUCUGCUUCUCGGCUUUUGAUAUAAGAAUAGUGAACUGCUAUGAGCUCGCAACGAGGAUGCCAUCAUGUUGAGUUGAGUUGACUCGGCAACUCGGAACCUAGAAGAAGCGAACAAGUGAGUGAAGAAAAGAAUAGCAGGAGGAGCAGGAGAACAGAAUUGUCAAUGACCUCACAUGGCUUGAUACACAAAAGCAAAGAGCAUUGUUCAAGAUUUUUUUAUUCAAUUUUUUAAAUUUCUUUAAUAAUUAGCACUUUAAAGAUUUAGCAAUGGCGAAAUUGUUUUUUCUUUAAGGCAAAGAAAGAGUUGCAGAGAUACAUGAAGAAGAUUUCUUUGAUAACUGACGAGAGAUUGAGACUAAUGAAUUUUUUUCUUUUUAUUUUGUUUUCAAUUUUUUAUUUUGGUUAUGUGGACUGUAAAGGUUUUGAAAAUUGGAUCAUUUGUAAUUUCAUUUUUAUACUUUUUUUUUAAAAUUAUUAAUUUUUAAAAAAUGGAGAUUGGGUCCCAAUUUAAUCCCCAUAUAAUUUGAGGAUUUUAGGGGACAUACCCAAAUUAUCCUCAACUAAAAUUAUUUCGGGUAAGGGGCGGAUUUGGGGAUUACUUUCAAAUUGGGUUUGGGUUCGGGGAUGAUGAUCCCCACCCCGAACCCGCCCCAUUGCCAUCAGUACAUGUAGGGCACCAAAUUUAAGGUAUUCUAACAAAGAGCCAUAUGCAACCUACUUGAAAUUUAUGCAAUUCACAUUUACUUGACUUUUUAAUGGUAUUAAUGGCAAUAAAGAAACGCACUUCAAAUUUUCAUAUUUGAUUGACUUUUCAAUAGGCAAUAAAGACAGGAAAUAGUUUUGCUGCAGGAGAGAUUUUAUAGUACGUGACAGCUAUUACACUCAAUU